CAGCAGCCACGGUAAUACAGAGGAUGCAAGCGUUAUCCGGAAUGAUUGGGCGUAAAGCGUCUGUAGGUGGCUUUUCAAGUCCGUCGUCAAAUCCCAGGGCUCAACCCUGGACAGGCGGUGGAAACUACCAAGUUGGAGUACGGUAGGGGCAGAGGGAAUUUCCGGUGGAGCGGUGAAAUGCGUCGAGAUCGGAAAGAACACCAACGGCGAAAGCACUCUGCUGGGCCGACGUUGACACUGAGAGACGAACGCUAGGGGAGAAAAUGGGAUUAGAUACCCGCGUAGUCCCUGUCUCUUAUAC
rnacentral:rRNA from 1 species